AUACGGAGGAUCCGAGCGUUAUCCGGAUUUAUUGGGUUUAAAGGGAGCGCAGGCGGAGAUGCAAGCGUGACGUCAAAUUUCGGGGCUCAACCCCGUCUCGCGUCGCGAACUGCGUCCCUUGGUUGCGGGAAGGGGAGGCGGAACUUGUGGUGUAGGGGGGAAAUGCAUAGAUAUCACGAAGAACUCCGAUCGCGAAGGCAGCCUUCCGGCCCGUCAACGACGCUCAUGCUCGAAGGUGCGGGUAUCAAACAGGAUUAGAUACCCUGGUAGUCCGCACAGUAAACGAUGGACACCCGCGGUUUGGCCUGUAUGGCUGAGCCGCCAAGCGAAAGCGUUAAGUGUCCCACCUGGGGAGUACGCCGGCAACGGUGAAACUCAAAGGAAUUGACGGGG
rnacentral:rRNA from 1 species